UACGGGGGGGGCAAGCGUUGUUCGGAAUUACUGGGCGUAAAGGGCUCGUAGGCGGCCAACUAAGUCGGAUGUGAAAUCCCCAGGCUUAACCUGGGAACUGCAUCCGAUACUGGAUGGCUUGAAUUCGGGAGAGGGAUGCAGAAUUCCAGGUGUAGCGGUGAAAUGCGUAGAUAUCUGGAGGAAUACCGGUGGCGAAGGCGGAUCUCUGGGCCUUACCUGACGCUCAGGCACGAAAGCUAGGGGAGCGAACAGG
rnacentral:rRNA from 1 species